CGCCCCCGCCAUGUUCUGCCAACUCGGCCACCUCACGAGCGUCUCCCCGCCGCCCCGCCCGGACUCGCUGCGGCUCCCGCGGCGGCCCCGGCCCGCGGUCCAGUAAUCACUUUUAAAAGACUUUCUUUUCAGUUACUAUCCUGAUUAAAAAUUUAUGACUCAUUGAUUUAUAUUGGGUUAAUUUAGUUGUAUGACCACUGGUAAUCUACAAUCGCCUCCCAAAGGUUGCAUUGUGCAGUGACCCAUCCCCACCCCCGUCUUCCAGGCAACCCUGCGCUUCCUUCCCCAACACCUCCUGCUGAGAUCUGGUUCUGACUCAACAAGAAUGUCGGGCCUGCCAGGACUUGCUCAGCCUGGCACACACGGCGCCAGCGCCUUCCCUCCUGUGCAGCCCCUCAGCUCCUCCUGAGGCCCUAACCCAGGCGCCCUAAGGGAGAGGCACCCGCCACAGAAGAGCAUGUUACAGUUUUCUUCUUUUUCUGAGAGGGAACCACCCUAGACAACACCGGACAGCAUCGCUCUAAGGACACGUCGGGAGGAAGCCGAGUCUUUCCGAGGACUCUGCUCACUUCUGUUCUUCAUCCUCACAUGUUGGGUGUUACCUUCUGGUCCUCGACACUGGUGGCCACCACAUGGAAUUGUUAUGGUAAUCUUCCACUAGAUUUCCCAAGACCAAGAUUCUAAUCUGAAUUUUCUUUGGAAUUGCUAUUUUAGAACCUCUCUGCAGCAAGGCCAUCUGUGACAUUCUUCAAGGGCCACUCACAUCAAUGUGGCACAUUGCAGCAGCCCAGGGUAGAGUGAUUCAAAUGGAGACCCAGCUGAGAUUUGGUCCUGUGUGCCCCAGACACCCCCUUUUGCCCCCCUCCUCCCCAGGAUGCCUGGGAGUGUUCAUGAGCACCAAUUGCCAGGGGCAGUACAGGUUCUUCAGAGCCCACAGACUUGGGAAUAACAUGGUUUCUGCUCUCAAGGAACUCAGUUUGGGGGAGGGAAUGCUCCCUAAAAGCCCUGAGAUGUGCAGAGAAUGCUUAUGUGGGCAGUGAAUAGGGAAAGCAACUUCUGAGAUACGGACUGAGGACAAUGUGGAGGAAUCGGAAACCUCUAGACAGAGCUUCAAAUUAUGUUUGCAACUUAUAUGAAGGCAAAAUGAAGGAGACGCUUUUUCAUUUUAACCUGCCUCUCUAGGUAUUUAAUGUUUUUUGAGGUUAAUAAUAUUUGUUCCAUGAGGGAAAAUCUAAAAGAGGAAUUACUAUGUUAUUUUGUUGUUUUUUUUAAAUGUAGAUUUGCAUGACUAUACACAUAUAAGGGAGUAUUUGCCCUUGAAAUUUUUGUCUCAAAACUUAAGUGUUUACUUCUUUAAAAAUGGUCAAUCAUGACUUGACUGGUGAGAGAGGUAUUUUGAAGGUGGCUUGGCCGAAUCUUUCUGAGGACUCUGCUCACUUUUGCUCUUUAUCCUCAUACACCGGUGUUACCUUCUGAUGAGUAACAGGCACUGGCUGGUUCUGACAAGCAUUUAGGGUUAAUUUGUGGGCCGUGACGUUGUUAUCAGAAAGAAAAGUCUUUGAAAUACUUUUUUCUGAAAGAUCAGAGUGGGUCUUCCCCACUUUGAAAGAUCAGAGUUUUGAACCAAUCUGUCAGGCUAUAGCUCCAACCAAAAACCCUGCAGAAUUUGUCCUGAGAAUGUAUACUCUAGUCUCACAGGAGUCAGUCCUGGAAUUCUCCCUCUCCAGAAAGUUGCCUGUACGAGGAGUCCUUCCUUUCUCCAUAAAUCAAUCAAUAAAAAAUAAGCUUA